rnacentral:lncRNA from 1 species
AUCCACAUGGCCUAUGAAGUAGUCCCAUCCAGCUCUAUCUCUGAAUUGCCUCAGCGCAUUGGAGUUGUGAGUCAAAAGAUCAUGGGUGAUAAUUUUAUGCUCAGGUAUAAACCUCUUUUCAGGACACCACUCUCUGAAUUUGUGAGGCGGCCUCACUGACAAACUUGCCCUCCCAUUCCUUCGAGUUUCUACCUCACCUACUUGGGGUUCACCCCUUUUGCUUCUUCCCCUUCUCCUACUACUGCACCCUCUCCGAAUAAUUAAAUUGUGGGAGAAGUGGAGUACUCAUCUCCAGUGUCUUCAGCUGAG